CAAUAGCGUAUAUUAAAGUUGUUGCAGUUAGAACGCUCGUAGUCGGAUUUCGGGGCGGGCCGACCGGUCUGCCGAUGGGUACGCACUGGUCGGCGCGUCCUUCCUUCCGGAGACCGUGCCUACUCUUAACUGAGCGGGGGCGGGAGACGGAUCGUUUACUUUGAAAAAAUCAGAGUGUUUCAAGCAGGCAGCUCGCUCUUGCAUGGAUUAGCAUGGGAUAAUGAAAUAGGACUUUGGUGCUAUUUUGUUGGUUUCGAACACCGAAGUAAUGAUUAACAGGGACAGUCAGGGACACUCGUAUUCCGCCGAGAGAGGUGAAAUUCUCAGACCAGCGGAAGACGAACUACUGCGAAAGCAUUUGCCAGGGAUGUUUUCACUGA
rnacentral:rRNA from 1 species